AACGAACGCUGGCGGCAUGCCUAACACAUGCAAGUCGAACGAGACCUUCGGGUCUAGUGGCGCACGGGUGCGUAACGCGUGGGAACCUGCCCUUAGGUUCGGAAUAACUCCCCGAAAGGGGUGCUAAUACCGGAUAAUGUCUUCGGACCAAAGAUUUAUCGCCAUUGGAUGGGCCCGCGUUGGAUUAGCUAGUUGGUAAGGUAAAAGCCUACCAAGGCGACGAUCCAUAGCUGGUCUGAGAGGAUGAUCAGCCACACUGGGACUGAGACACGGCCCAGACUCCUACGGGAGGCAGCAGUGGGGAAUAUUGGACAAUGGGCGAAAGCCUGAUCCAGCAAUGCCGCGUGAGUGAUGAAGGCCUUAGGAUUGUAAAGCUCUUUUACCCGGGAUGAUAAUGACAGUACCGGGAGAAUAAGCCCCGGCUAACUCCGUG
rnacentral:rRNA from 1 species